rnacentral:rRNA from 1 species
GAUGAACGCUGGCGGCGUGCCUAAUACAUGCAAGUCGAGCGAACGGACGAGAAGCUUGCUUCUCUGAUGCUAGCGGCGGACGGGUGAGUAACACGUGGAUAACCUACCUAUAAGACUGGGAUAACUUCGGGAAACCGUAGCUAAUACCGGAUAAUAUUUUGAACCGCAUGGUUCAAAAGUGAAAGACGGUCUUGCUGUCACUUAUAGAUGGAUCCGCGCUGCAUUAGCUAGUUGGUAAGGUAACGGCUUACCAAGGCAACGAUGCAUAGCCGACCUGAGAGGGUGAUCGGCCACACUGGAACUGAGACACGGUCCAGACCCCUACGGGAGGCAGCAGUAGGGAAUCUUCCGCAAUGGGCGAAAGCCUGACGGAGCAACGCCGCGUGAGUGAUGAAGGUCUUCGGAUCGUAAAACUCUGUUAUUAGGGAAGAACAUAUGUGUAAGUAACUGUGCACAUCUUGACGGUACCUAAUCAGAAAGCCACGGCUAACUACGUGCCAGCAGCCGCGGUAAUACGUAGGUGGCAAGCGUUAUCCGGAAUUAUUGGGCGUAAAGCGCGCGUAGGCGGUUUUUUAAGUCUGAUGUGAAAGCCCACGGCUCAACCGUGGAGGGUCAUUGGAAACUGGAAAACUUGAGUGCAGAAGAGGAAAGUGGAAUUCCAUGUGUAGCGGUGAAAUGCGCAGAGAUAUGGAGGAACACCAGUGGCGAAGGCGACUUUCUGGUCUGUAACUGACGCUGAUGUGCGAAAGCGUGGGGAUCAAACAGGAUUAGAUACCCUGGUAGUCCACGCCGUAAACGAUGAGUGCUAAGUGUUAGGGGGUUUCCGCCCCUUAGUGCUGCAGCUAACGCAUUAAGCACUCCGCCUGGGGAGUACGACCGCAAGGUUGAAACUCAAAGGAAUUGACGGGGACCCGCACAAGCGGUGGAGCAUGUGGUUUAAUUCGAAGCAACGCGAAGAACCUUACCAAAUCUUGACAUCCUUUGACAACUCUAGAGAUAGAGCCUUCCCCUUCGGGGGACAAAGUGACAGGUGGUGCAUGGUUGUCGUCAGCUCGUGUCGUGAGAUGUUGGGUUAAGUCCCGCAACGAGCGCAACCCUUAAGCUUAGUUGCCAUCAUUAAGUUGGGCACUCUAAGUUGACUGCCGGUGACAAACCGGAGGAAGGUGGGGAUGACGUCAAAUCAUCAUGCCCCUUAUGAUUUGGGCUACACACGUGCUACAAUGGACAAUACAAAGGGCAGCGAAACCGCGAGGUCAAGCAAAUCCCAUAAAGUUGUUCUCAGUUCGGAUUGUAGUCUGCAACUCGACUACAUGAAGCUGGAAUCGCUAGUAAUCGUAGAUCAGCAUGCUACGGUGAAUACGUUCCCGGGUCU